CGUAGGGUGCGAGCGUUAUCCGGAAUUAUUGGGCGUAAAGAGCUCGUAGGCGGUUUGUCGCGUCUGUCGUGAAAGUCCGGGGCUUAACCCCGGAUCUGCGGUGGGUACGGGCAGACUAGAGUGCAGUAGGGGAGACUGGAAUUCCUGGUGUAGCGGUGGAAUGCGCAGAUAUCAGGAGGAACACCGAUGGCGAAGGCAGGUCUCUGGGCUGUAACUGACGCUGAGGAGCGAAAGCAGUGGGGGGAGCGAACAGGAUU
rnacentral:rRNA from 1 species